rnacentral:snoRNA from 1 species
AAAACAUCUGUAGGAGUGCUUAUGGGACUAUGAAACCUAGAAAGAGAUCUUAAUGUUGUGAUGACAAACUGAAGUUUCCCACAGAAUGACUUAGUCAUCCAAUAAAGCUCUGUUCUCCUGAGAAGAUAUUGCA